rnacentral:rRNA from 1 species
AUUGAACGCUGGCGGCAGGCCUAACACAUGAAAGUCGAGCGCGCGGCGGACGGGUGAGUAAUGUCUGGGAAACUGCCUGAUGGAGGGGGAUAACUACUGGAAACGGUAGCUAAUACCGCAUACCAUCAGAUGUGCCCAGGUGGGAUUAGCUAGUAGGUGGGGUAACGGCUCACCUAGGCGACGAUCCCUAGCUGGUCUGAGAGGAUGAGCAGCCAGACUGGAACUGAGACACGGUCCAGACUCCUCCGGGAGGCGGCAGUGGGGAAUAUUGCACAAUGGGCGCAAGCCUGAUGCAGCCAUGCCGCGUGUGUGAAGCAGGCCUUCGGGUUGUAAAGCACUUUCAGCGGGGAGGCGUUACCCGCAGAAGAAGCACCGGCUAACUCCGUGCCAGCAGCCGCGGUAAUAC